CGGCCGCCAGCUCGCCGUGAUCAAAUUAUGAGCCACCGCUCCCGGAGUCUUUAAAUUGAGCCCGCCGUUAGCUCCGCAACCUCAUCACAUACCCCAUCGUCCAGUAUCGCCCUCAGUCCUGCAACCGUGAGCUCCAAUUCCAAGUUUUCCCCAAACCUGUUUGAAUACACCGCGAAGAACACCUCACCGCGGCCAGCCAUCCCCAGGUCUGCUCAUUCCUUUUUCAUCUCUGUUCUAGCAUACUUACGUAUUGGUGAUGCUCUCCGACCCUUCCAAUCGAACUAGACCGCCAUGAAUUGACGGGAACACACUCAUCGGUCUGCCUUGUCCACGGUCGCCGUGGCUAGACCAAACCUUGUGACCAUUAGUGAAAUCAUGUUGGGGGAAAUGGUCGGGGUAGUGCUAAUUUCGUGUCCGCUGCUCGGAGAACCCUGCCGUUGCCCUAAUCGGCCGGCGUAGAUGCUCGCCGGAGCGCGGCUGUGCGCGAGCGCCGUCGUGGACUUCCAAUCGUGAAUUAGUAGAAGUGCAGGGGCCUUUUUGUGAUCGGUCAGCGACACACAGGAACAGUGAAGAAGCUCGUUUUCAGUUAGUCAAAAACUCGGGGUCUCUUCUGCAAAGAUGCCAGGACGCGGGCGCGCGCGGGCGCGUUUUGCCCUGGCCCUGGGCCGUUUGGGCCAGAACCGGCCCAGCUCUGUUUAAUCUUUUUCUUUUUCUUUUUCAGGAAAACUUUAGAAAUCUGUAGAAAAAUGUAGAAAAAUGAUAAAAUUAUGAAACUAAUUUUCCUAGGCUUGUUAUUUUCCCUAGAAUUUAGUAAAAAUAGUUUUAUGAUUUUUAGUGGAAAUAAGAAAUUUUAGGGUAUUUAAAGUAGUUAAAAGUAUUAGUUAUGGAUUUUUAGAAAAUAAUUGGUAAGCCCAAAAAUGCCCAAACUUUUUAUGGGAACUUAAAACAAUAUUUAGAAGCCUUGGGUAAGGUUUGAAUUGUUUUGGACCUUGUUUGAUCACCAAACCCAAAACACCACCCCCCUGUCCUAUGAACUCCUUUACCGACUCCGGAAACCCUAAGUUCCCGGAACUCCGUGAAGGAAAGUUGUAUUCAAGACGUAAAUAAUAAGUUUAUGCUAUCUUUGCAUCCUCAUGAGCAUCCCAUGGCAUCCAUUCUUAUACUUAUGUAUGGUUAUGAUUAGAACGUGAAGAAGAGAUAGAAGUCACCGAAGACAGGACACCACCACCUUCGGAAUCCCAGGCCGGGAAUAGUUUCUACUUCGAUAUCUGUGGAUCCGAACCCGAAUCACCUAUAAACGAAGGCAAGCCCCGGUGCAUUUGCCACCUUCCUUGCUGUUUUAAAAUCUUUCUCACUUGAUUGCUGCAUUAGGUGAUAGGAGUUGCUUGAUAAAACCAUUCCUGCAUUACCUUCCUUGAAUUUGAUUACCUUCCUUGAUCACCUGUUUUACAAAAGCUUUUUGAUGCUUAGCUUUGCUUUAGAAAAACAAAAGGUUUUGUUUUUUUACAAAAUAUGAUGUGGCAAAAGUGGGUGGGAUGUUUUCGAAAAUAAAACUUGAUGAUGGAUCUAUCAAAGGCCUUGAUAGGUUCAACAUCGGAAAAGAUGUACCUCUGCCAGGUACCAAACUUUGGGUUUGAAAUAAUUAAGUUGAGACCGGGCGGGUGACUUGCACGAGAAGAGAGUCUCGGUGUAGUGUCUCCGUCUGAGUCGAUUAAGGACCUUGUCGAUGUAGGCUUGAUGAUCGAGGACCCUUUAACUGGUCACAUGCCUCGUCAUGGGUAAGCCUUGCCUCGGGCAGACUAAGGCCGGAAUAAGAUAACACGAAAUGGACGUGGAGCGGUGGCGAGAGUAGCGUGUACCCUCCGUGGCAAGAGGCUGGACGGUGGUGUAUCUGUGCUCUCGGUUUGCGUGAACCUGAUCCGGUCUUAAGAACCCCGGUGGCGGGUUGACAUAUGCAAGGGUUAAGUGCUACAUAUGUCAUGUGAUUGGAGAUCCUCAGCUGAGUAUAAUCGAUUCAGAUCGCCGUACCUUCGCGGUUAUGAAGACUUGGUCACUGCCCUACACGUAGCAUUCCACUAAAGACGAUGUGCUUUUGUUAAGAAAUUGGCUAGUGCAGGACCAGUGAUUGAACUAGGGUAGAAAGAACUCUAGUGCAGGUAAUUUUACUUAACUUGACAAAUAAAAUUGGAUUUUUAAGGAUCCACUUUAGUAAGCAUUUCUGCAAAACAGAGUCUUUGAAUAUUGAAAAGCCUUACCUUGACUCCCACAUAACCAGCAUACCCUUGAGAGUCUUUUCUUUAGUCGGGUAAGACUUGCUGAGUAAUUCCAUACUCAGGGUUUAUCCCUUCGUUGUUUUUAGGUGAGGAAGUAGCAGACUUUUGCUGCUUCUGUGCCAAGGUGGUUCCCAAAGAAGAAAAACAAGACUGAAGUGCGGGAGGACUCGGUCCUCCACAUAGGAUCUUUUGCUUAUAGCUUAUCGGGAGGAGUUUGUGCCUCCCUUGGUUUGUAUAAUAUUACUACUCUGCACUCACUUUUAGUUCUGGUCUGUAAUAACAUAACUCAAGCUUGCUUUUGAAAUAAAUGUAAGUUUAUGUAAUUGCUUCCGCAUGUCUUUAUCUCCGAUGUUCUGUAAUGUCUGCAAGACGGGUGAGACGUUCCUGGUAAGGUAAGGAAAGAUACCGAACUUGUCAAGUGACUUAGGAACAUCUACAGGGUGUCUGAUGUCUGUUAGACAAGGACAACUGUAGGUGGGCCUAAUUACUUGGGAGGUUCCGUCACAGCUGGUAUCGGAGCGUAGCCCUUCUUUGCAGAUAUUAUGAGGCAUCUUCAAAAGGAUUUUCGAAAGUCUUACCUAAAAACUCUUCUCUCUUCUUACCUAAGUAUUCUGAAGAGUCUAUCUUAAAGACCAGAUAGGAAGAGAGCAAUGUAUAGAAGGUUGAAUCGACUAAGGUUGAUUCUGUACUUACACAUGCAUCAUGCUAAGCACUAUACUAAUAAAAUUUCCCCCUUAGAGAAAUGUUGUCGAGCAUCAGAAAGACCGCGCGCAAAUCUACUAGACCCAUUGGCGUAUCCCGCCAUUAGCUUGUCCCAAGACCUGAAGAAAGUAACAGUAGUAGAAACGAUUCUAUCGGGGAUCUAGAAGCACAAGUUGAACUGCUUCAAUCAGAACUCCGUCACAGGAAUGAUCUAUGGGUCGCGGAUGCAGCCAUCCACUACUUGCAAGGCCAACUCGCAAAUCGAGAUCUAGCGCUCGAUUGGACGGUUAACUCUCGUCCGCUCGCCUGGGCUAAGGAAGCCAAAGCUCGAGCCCGCGUGGAGGAGCUUAGCUUAGCUGUGGAUAACUUGCAGGUCUAUUAUAAUACACUACAUGAAAAAGUUCAUGUGUUGUAUUCACAACUGCACCCGAACGUCCCUGUGAAUCCUGUCGGAAUGGAAGCCGGACCUUCUCAUGUAGCGGGAGAAGCACUUAGUGGUGAACUGGACCUUUUUAGGCCCCCUCCCUCUAUAAAGUUGGUUGACGAAUGGUCUUCUACGCCCGACAGUACAGCUACCAAAAGUGAAAAGAAGUGGUUUACCAAGUGCCCUUAACAUUGGUCGGACAAGACUUUCCCGCUAAUAUGAUUGUUCUGAAAGGCCAAGACAUGAAUGUCAUCUUAGGCAUAAACUGGUUAGCCCAGCAUAAGGCAAUUCUCAAUCCUGAUCUAAGAACUAUCAGGUUGAGUUAUGGCCAAUAAAGAGUUGGUGACUUGAUUGCCUAAACUAAGAUUAGGCUAUAUUCGUAUUUAGUGAACCGUGACCCGACCCAAAGUUGAAUUCUUCGUUAUCACUCCAUGACCAAACGCAUACAAAUAAAUGCCUAGAGGAUUUCUUUGUCAGACCUGAAGUGUACCUAGACUUCAAACAAGGAUCUCAAGUCAUGCCUCCUUUUAGAACCAUUCUCUUGUUCAAGUAGAUACAGGUUGCAGUCUUUAGUACAUUUGGCCUCUCCUUGCGGAUCACCAUGUUGCUUUAUUAAUCCAACUUAGAAAAGACAUGUCCGACCAUUUUCCUUGAAGUUGAUGCCUUUGGUUUCUUCAUAUCUAUCAAAGGCAUACCAACUUAAGUCUUGACCUUGUGAUCUCUGCAAUGGGCAUAGAAAUAUGCUUGGGCUGAAUUAACAGUCUCCCAUCGUAUUUUUUUUCAUCCAGUUUAGGUUAUGGCCAUGCCUUGUUCACUUCCUCGGGCCAUGAUCUAUUUGGCUCUCUACUUGUAACCAUUUUUACUGGUAGAGUAUCCUUUUGUAUAUUGUCACCCUUACCUAAUCCCUUAGUGUUGUGUGAGAUUUCUUAUUGGUUAUGUCUGGUAAUGGUGUUAUGACUAAAAUCGGUGACACCGCGCUGAAACCGAGGACCUCCGGUAGGUGCACACAGGAUUUUGCUGCUUGGCGCAUGUCGGUAUCGAGGUCUCUAGUCAUGAUCCAUUAUCGAAUUACACUGAUGUGUUAUCUUCCAUUGACCUUUCCUUGAAACAAUUUCUAUGUUGUUUGUGAAAAAGAUCAAGCAACAUCUGUCAUUUCCGUUGGAUCAAAAGGGCAUACCACUUUCAUAUGUGGUCUUAUUUCUUUUGAUCUUGGUAGUGACUACUCAUAUAAGUUCCCUUUACAUCCUUUGUGUAAAGGUGAAGCCUAGGAGCUUGUUAGUAUUGGACAACAACUGAUUAGCUCCCAAAAUGGGGAUCUGUUUUCCCUACUGCUGAAAUGCAGGAGUUUGUUCAUUCGCUCUUUUAUUUAAUUCAUGUAUUCCCUAACCAAGUGGAUAAUUCAUCUCGCUUGAGGAAACAGAUGAACAACUUGAUCAAAUAGAUUUCUACCCAACUACAUGCUCAACUGUUAACAUGAGUGAACUCUUGACUGUUGGCUUACCGAUGGUACUGAGAGAACUUGCUCAAUGUCAAAAGUAGUUCAACAAGUUGGAUUUGACUAACUUGUAACUGCCCAAUGAACGAAGGUUGAGUUUAGAGAUUGAUUUAUCAAGUUAUCUAAACUCACUUUGGUACUUUGAAGACUCAAGGUUAAGCCAGCCAGAAACCACCUAGUCAUUACUCUAGUCAUGUCUCGAUCGCCUCGCGUGUGCUUUUCCAGCAUGUGCGAUCAAGUCGAGCCAUGGUAGUGCUGGACAAAAUGGACUGGUCGUAAAGUCCAGACCUCUCCGCUGGUGAUUUCCACGAAACUAUACCAUCUUUUGUGGACUUGAAUUCUCGGGUUAGCCACAUGACAGUAUUCGACAUUCACACCGUCUCGUGUGCUACAAACUUACUGUAACCACUUGUUGGUAAACCUCUUUUGUGUUUUACCCAAGAUGGUGCAUCUAUUUGGGUAAAGUUGCAUAAUUGCCACCCAACAGACUCAGAUAGUAUAGUGUCAUCAGAAAAAGCAAAUUGCACACAUGGAACCUUGUGUGUUCUUCUGGCUGACGUCAUCCUUAUUAGUGGACAACGAUGCAAACUGAAAUUGCACGGUGUGACACUUGUAAACGUGUCAAGGCCACACAUAUGAAGACUGCUGGUCCAUUACAGUCUCUACCAAUCCCAACAUGGAAAGGGGAAGACAUUAGUAUGGACUUUAUUGUGGGAUUAACCAGGACUACAAAAGGUCUGCACGGUGUUCCGAAGACCAUAGUGUCGGAUCGUGGAUCGCAAUUCGUAUCCAAAUUCUGGGAAGAACUUCAUAAAUCCCUGGGUACUAAAUUGCUCCACAGUUCGGCCUAUCAUCCUCAAACCAGUGGACAGACUAAGAGGGUAAACCAAAUACUGGAAGAUAUGCUACGGGCAUGUGUUCUGGACUUCUCACAGAAAUGGGAUGAAUGUUUGCCCUUAGCGGAGUUUUCAUACAAUAACAGUUAUCAAGAAAGUAUCAAGAUGGCACCUUUUGAAGCUUUAUAUGGGCGACGGUGUCGAACUCCGCUAAAUUGGUCUGAACCUGGAGAAAGAUACUUCUUUAGGCCUGAUUUGGUGAAAGAGGUCGAAGAAAAGGUUCAGAGAAUUAUUCAUAAUAUGAAGAAAGCUCAGACUCGACAAAAGAGUUAUGCAGACCGACGACGACAACCCUUAUGCUUUUUGGUAGACGACUAUGUCUACUUAAAAGUUUCACGAAUGAAGGGUGUAUCGCGUUUCGGGGUUAAAGGGAAGCUUGCACCCAGGUACAUUGGUCCAUUCCUGGUGCUUGAGCAAUGUGGACCAGUGGCAUACCGACUCCAACUACCCGAAACAUUGUCUGCUGUGCAUAAUGUGUUCCACGUGUCACAAUUGAAGAAGUGUCUUCGGGUUCCUGAUCGAACCGUUGAAGUGACUGAUGUUGUCCUGGAACCAGAUUUAACAUACUCGUAGCAUCCUAUUCGAGUUCUGGAUCAAAAGGACAGGAUCACUCGAAGAAAGACUCUCAAGUUCUACAAGAUACAGUGGAACCAGCAUUCUGAAGAUGAAGCUACUUGGGAAACUCAAGACUUCUUGAAUAAGAAUUUCCCAGGCUUUCUAGCCUCCUGUGAAUUGUAAAGUGUAUAUAGUUAUUGUAAUAAAGAAGUGACCCCCACAUCACCCCUGCCUUGUACCAGAAUUUAAGAAAUAAAAAUGUGAUGUGUUUCCUUUACCAUUACCUACCCUAGGAUCUUAAUCUCGGGACGAGAUUCUUUUAUGGGGGGGAAGGAUGUAACACCCCUGGUGUUACUGUAACUAAAACUUGAGCAUGGCAUCAUAAGCAUUGGCAUUGCAUAUGUUUGAUACACCUAGAAUGCAUUCACUAGGCAAAAAUUUCAAACAAGUUGUAUUGUUUAAGUGUUUUGCAAAUAGGACCCUGGAUAGGGAAUUUAACCCUAAAUAGGGAUUAAAGGGGUAAAACUUAACCCAAGUUAAGAAAACCUAAAGACUUUAGGGUAAAAGUCAUAAAAUGACCCCAAGAAUAAAGUUGAAUCACUUUUAUACCCCUGGGGUACCAGAAACCCUAAUUGGAACCCUGGAAAACCCUGAAACCAAACCCUAGGGGCUUAUGUGCAAAAUUAGCCCACUUUUGGGCUAAAGUGCAAAAACCAAGCUAAAUAAGUGUUUUAAGUCAAUUGGUUCACAAAUAUGUGGACUUGAAAGCUAAACCCUAAGUUUUGGACUUAAAUGCAAAAUGGACCUCAUUUGAGUUCUAUACUAAGUCUGAAAUUCAGUGUUGAAGGCUCCACUUUGGGGCUUUGUAACUUUCAAAGUAUAGGGUUUUUGCCCUAGGUCACCACAUCAAAAUUGUAGCCCAAUUAUAGGAGAACAACUUUGUUUAAGGAUUCAAGCCAUGGUCUUAUGAGAAAUUUGGAGAAAAACCCCAUCAAAGAUGGACUGUCAGGCUGCCUGAAGCCUGAAAUUCAGAUUAACAGUGUGAUGGGAUGAACUUUGAGCUCGAUUUUGAUUUGGAUCCAGUGACUUUUUGUGAGUACACAUUAUAGCAAAGAUAUAUAUGGAUUAUAGCUCUACACCUUUGCUGCAGAAAGUUGAUAUAGAUUCCACAUAAAAACUGGAGAAAAUGAAGCUUCAAUAUGCGCUGUCAGGUUCAUCUGACUGAAACUCCUGAUGGUACAGUGCCCUAACCGGAUCAGAUCGACCGCCGUAGAAAAGAUCUCACCGCCGGCGACCUCUUUGCCGGGAUUGGUGCCGCGGCCGUGUGGAUGUUGCUCACCUUGAAAAGAUCUCACCGUGGAUAAACUUGGAGCACUGUGGCCACUCGGUCACUUCUCCCCUUACCGGCGACGUGGCCGCACGGCCAUCACCGGCGUGCCGCCGUUCUUUGCUGUUAUGCCACGCUGUCGGUCAUCUUACCACGUCGCAGUCGAUUACUAUACGCCGUCCUUCUAUUACCUAAGGCCUUGCCACGCCAUAGGACACGUAACCGCGCGCCAAGCUUCUUCCUCACCUCCGGCCGCCAGCUCGCCGUGAUCAAAUUAUGAGCCACCGCUCCCGGAGUCUUUAAAUUGAGCCCGCCGUUAGCUCCACAACCUCAUCACAUACCCCAUCGUCCAGUAUCGCCCUCAGUCCUGCAACCGUGAGCUCCAAUUCCAAGUUUUCCCCAAACCUGUUUGAAUACACCGCGAAGAACACCUCACCGCGACCAGCCAUCCCCAGGUCUGCUCAUUCCUUUUUCAUCUCUGUUCUAGCAUACUUACGUAUUGGUGAUGCUCUCCGACCCUUCCAAUCGAACUAGACCGCCAUGAAUCGACGGAAACACACUCAUCGGUCCGCCUUGUCCACGGCCGCCGUGGCUAGACCAAACCUUGUGACCAUUAGUGAAAUCAUGUUGGGG
rnacentral:lncRNA from 1 species